rnacentral:lncRNA from 1 species
AAAAAUAGGGUAGUUUAGGAUUUUUUUUGAAACCAGAGGUAUUUCUUAUUUUUGUAAAAAAUCCAUCUAUUUCUUUUAAAUGACAAAUAUAAUAGGGUAAAUAAAUAUUAAAGUACAACAAAACAAUACUAAGUAUAAGAAAUGCCAAAAAUCUUCAAAAGAGAAAAAAAGUAUAAUAGAAAAGAAAAACAACACAAAC